AGCGAACGCUGGCGGCAGGCCUAAUACAUGCAAGUCGAACGGUCUCUUCGGAGGCAGAGGCGGACGGGUGAGUAACGCGUGGGAAUAUGCCCUUUGGUACGGAACAACUGAGGGAAACUUCAGCUAAUACCGUAUGUGCCCUUCGGGGGAAAGAUUUAUCGCCAUUGGAGUAGCCCGCGUUGGAUUAGGUAGUUGGUGGGGUAAAGGCCUACCAAGCCUACGAUCCAUAGCUGGUCUGAGAGGAUGAUCAGCCACACUGGGACUGAGACACGGCCCAGACUCCUACGGGAGGCAGCAGUAGGGAAUCUUGCGCAAUGGGCGAAAGCCUGACGCAGCCAUGCCGCGUGAAUGAUGAAGGUCUUAGGAUUGUAAAAUUCUUUCACCGGGGGAAGAUAAUGACGGUACCCGGAGAAGAAGCCCCGGCUAACUUCGUGCCAGCAGCCGCGGUAAU
rnacentral:rRNA from 1 species